rnacentral:lncRNA from 1 species
GAUAGAAUCUGUUGCUGGAGGCUCGUCGGAGGCAAUAGAAGAGAAUGCCUAACUUUGGAGGCUUCGCCGGAGGUCGGAUUCGUCAGAAUCGUGGCUAGGGUUUUCCGCCCACGAUGAGGUCGUGGUUUAACGGAAAAAACUACCACUAAACUCGCAAAUUUCAAAGAGGGAAAAGAGAGAGGUGUUUUAGUGAAAUGUUAAUUUCAUUAACCUUGUAAUCUUUCACUUAAGUGUAAAUUGAAUAAAUGUAAUGUUAAUA